GGAAGAUGAGGAGUGGUAUUUUCUCACUUGUGAGAUGAGUGUCUGCCCCAUGCCUGGUUACGACAAAUGGGCACUCACAUUCUAAUCCUAUCUGAUUCC
rnacentral:snoRNA from 1 species